rnacentral:rRNA from 1 species
GAUGAACGCUGGCGGCGUGCUUAACACAUGCAAGUCGAACGGUGAAGGCGGAGCUUGCUCUGCUGGAUCAGUGGCGAACGGGUGAGUAACACGUGAGCAAUCUGCCCCUGACUCUGGGAUAAGCGCUGGAAACGGCGUCUAAUACUGGAUACGAGCUGCGAAGGCAUCUUCAGCAGCUGGAAAGAAUUUCGGUCAGGGAUGAGCUCGCGGCCUGUCAGCUUGUUGGUGAGGUAAUGGCUCACCAAGGCGUCGACGGGUAGCCGGCCUGAGGGGGUGACCGGCCACACUGGGACUGAGACACGGCCCAGACUCCUACGGGAGGCAGCAGUGGGGAAUAUUGCACAAUGGGCGGAAGCCUGAUGCAGCAACGCCGCGUGAGGGACGACGGCCUUCGGGUUGUAAACCUCUUUUAGCAGGGAAGAAGCGAAAGUGACGGUACCUGCAGAAAAAGCGCCGGCUAACUACGUG